rnacentral:snRNA from 1 species
GUGCUCACUUCCGCAGCACAUACACUAAAAUUGGAACAAUACAGAGAAUAUUAGCAUGGCCCCUGUGCAAGGAUGACAUGCAAAUUCAUGAAACGUUCCAUAUUAUU